rnacentral:rRNA from 1 species
AUGGAUGAGAAUCUAUAUGUAAACUAUAAGAAAAAAGCCGCCACAAACUUUGUGGCUGCAGCACUUUCUAAUGCUCUUCCUUUUUUUUUUUUUAUGCUUGGUUCAGUUCUCUGCAGCCCCAAAAAAUGGUUUGCUUUUCUUUACUUAAAUGUACCUACAGAUGAACGUUAUUAUUCACUGCGUAGUACCAGCUUUAUUUUGGGUCUCUCAGCUCUGCUUCUCGGUCACAAUUUAUUCAUUGCAUGCUGCACAGUAACGUUAUUUUCUGAAUGCUUCUGUAGGAAGGUUCAAACUCUGUGGAUCUCAUAA